GAUGAACGCUAGCGGCAGGCCUAAUACAUGCAAGUCGAACGGUGUCUUCGGACAUAGUGGCGCACGGGUGCGUAACACGUAUGCAACCUACCUUACAUUGGGGGAUAGCCUUUCGAAAGGGAGAUUAAUACCGCAUAAGACAGUAGCUGGGCAUCCAGCAGCUGUUAAAGAUUUAUCGAUGUAAGCUGGGCAUGCGUCCAAUUAGCUAGUUGGUGAGGUAACUGCUCACCAAGGCAAUGAUUGGUAGGGGAACUGAGAGGUCAAUCCCCCACACUGGCACUGAGAUACGGGCCAGACUCCUACGGGAGGCAGCAGUAGGGAAUAUUGGGCAAUGGACGCAAGUCUGACCCAGCCAUGCCGCGUGCAGGAUGAAGGCGUUAUGCGUUGUAAACUGCUUUUAUACAGGAAGAAACGACUCUUGCGAGAGGCAUCGACGGUACUGUAUGAAUAAGCACCGGCUAACUCCGUGCCAGCCGCCGCAGUAAUAC
rnacentral:rRNA from 1 species